rnacentral:tRNA from 1 species
ACUCCCUUAGUAUAAUCAGUACAACUGACUUCCAAUCAGUUAGUUUCAGUUUAAUCUGAAAGAGAGUA